ensembl:lncRNA
GUUCCCAUAACCUGCAUACUUCUCCUAAAGCGGGAAGAGCCGAGCAGAUACCCACAUAUUCUUUGUAAUAAGACACUUUCACCCAAGCAACCCACAGAUGAGGAACAUCACAAGCAAUUUAUCAUCCGAGAGCAACAAAGCCAACAGCGCUGCAAGGACAAGCUUCAGGAAAUCACUCUAGGGGACUGAAGAAUCAGCCGUAUGUCUGCAGAUCAAACUCACAACUCUCAUGUUGUUUUCAGUCAUCUUUAGGGAUGUAAAUCUAAGGCUAGUGCUUCUAUACACUUCGUGUCAACCUGAUGUUGAGUGCAUGUUUCUCUUGCAUCUGCUGUUGAAGCAUCGGCCCCGAGGGGCUCCUGAGGGCCUCAGUGUGGUCAGAGCUGCUCAUCACAGUUUCUCUAACGGCUCUCUGUUUGCUCUCUCUGCUCUGAAUUCAAAUGAACGAGCGUUACGAUGUUAUGCUGCGGGGAGCGGCUGUUACAGGGAGCUGUGUUAAUUACUCACUUAAUUAGUCGGACUAACACACAUGAGCUGAACCAAG